AGCUGUGAGGGGAACUUACUUAGGGCACCCGCCAUCCCACUGAUUGCCUAGGUCAGCUUGGCUGAUCUGACUAGCCUGGCAGAUGUCCUCUUCCUCCUCCACAUUCUAUGUGCAUGCUUUUUGAAGGGCACUCAGUCAAAGAGGAUGACUUUUCUUGGUAGAGGAGGCCUAUCUUAGCAAGGUUAUACAAGUACCCGUGCCCCCAUGCUAGAGCCUCCAAACCUCUCAAGGUGCAUGCCAAGGAGAACAUACUGCCUCUCCCUG
rnacentral:snRNA from 1 species